GGAUAUUCAAAUUCACUUGGAGUGUAAAGGCAGAAUGUCUAAAUCAAUGUACAAGGCUGAGAAGGGAUCAGAGACAGAUUUGAAAAAGUGAGCCAUCUCAGCCCACUAACAUAGCAGAAAACUGCACCAGCCAUUCCCAACAAAGGAAUUUUUCUGACAAAGCCAAUUUCUGCUGCCUUAUAAGGCAGUAUUUUUCCUCUUGAAAACCCCAACCAACCAGCUGGUUUAUACGCAGUACCUCGGGUAAAUAAGGUAA